rnacentral:SRP_RNA from 1 species
UUGCUUGAGCCCAGGAGUUCUGCACUGCAAAGUGCUGUGGCAAGCAGGUAUCCUCACUAAAGCCAUCAUCAAUACAGUGAGCCCUGGGGAGCCGGGGGGCACCAAGCUGAUCAAAGGAGGUGUGAACUGGACCAGCUCAGAGACAGAGCAGGUCAAAUCUCCCGAGAUGAUCAGUAGCAGGAUCGUGCCUGUGAAUGGUCCCUGCAGUGUGGCCUGGGCGACAUAGAGA